ACUGAAAUACUUUCCAGAGAGAAAGGUAUGAAUUUUCCCUAUUUUGCAGAUGAGAAACUUGAGGUUCAGGGAGGUGAGCCCGGGAAAGAGACAGCAGAGCACAGGGCAAAGGUCCAUGGUUGCAACCUUCUCCUGUCAUUUAUUAGCUGUGGGACUGUGCGCAAGUUACUAAACCUGUCUAUGCUUCAGUUUCCCAGGCAGGAAAACAUGGGCGAUAAUAAGUACCAACCUACCACCUAUGGCAGUUGUGUGGAUUGAAGGAGUUAGUUUUUGUAAAAUCCCUAGGAUAGUGCUUGGCACAUGGAUUCCGAUAUUCCCCCGAGAAGCAGGGGUUCUAUUAGAGACAGCAAUAAAAGGAAGCUGGUUCAGGACACAAGACAUUAAUGAGGCCUAGACUCAAGGGCCCUGCUGAGCCCUACAGGAGGCACUCCAGGCUAGAAGAAUUGCCAGCUUCAGAGCCCACUACCCGGAGGGCUCAAACUCUGCAAGUUCCCUGUUGAAUCUCCG